UACGUAGGUGGCAAGCGUUGUCCGGAUUUACUGGGCGUAAAGGAUGCGUAGGCGGACAUUUAAGUCAGAUGUGAAAUACCCGAGCUUAACUUGGGUGCUGCAUUUGAAACUGGGUGUCUAGAGUGCAGGAGAGGUAAGUGGAAUUCCUAGUGUAGCGGUGAAAUGCGUAGAGAUUAGGAAGAACACCAGUGGCGAAGGCGGCUCACUGGCCCGGAACUGACGCUGAGGUGCGAAAGCGUGGGGAGCAAACAGG
rnacentral:rRNA from 1 species